rnacentral:rRNA from 1 species
GCAGUGGGGAAUCUUAGACAAUGGGCGCAAGCCUGAUCUAGCCAUGCCGCGUGAGCGAUGAAGGCCUUAGGGUUGUAAAGCUCUUUCAGUGGGGAAGAUAAUGACUGUACCCACAGAAGAAGCCCCGGCUAACUCCGUGCCAGCAGCCGCGGUAAUACGGAGGGGGCUAGCGUUGUUCGGAAUUACUGGGCGUAAAGCGCACGUAGGCGGACCGGAAAGUCAGAGGUGAAAUCCCAGGGCUCAACCUUGGAACUGCCUUUGAAACUCCUGGUCUUGAGGUCGAGAGAGGUGAGUGGAAUUCCGAGUGUAGAGGUGAAAUUCGUAGAUAUUCGGAGGAACACCAGUGGCGAAGGCGGCUCACUGGCUCGAUACUGACGCUGAGGUGCGAAAGCGUGGGGAGCAAACAGGAUUAGAUACCCUAGUAGUCC